rnacentral:rRNA from 1 species
UACGGAGGGGGCUAGCGUUGUUCGGAAUUACUGGGCGUAAAGCGCACGUAGGCGGACCAGCAAGUUAGGGGUGAAAUCCCGGGGCUCAACCCCGGAACUGCCCUUAAAACUGCCGGUCUGGAGUUCGAGAGAGGUGAGUGGAAUUCCGAGUGUAGAGGUGAAAUUCGUAGAUAUUCGGAGGAACACCAGUGGCGAAGGCGGCUCACUGGCUCGAUACUGACGCUGAGGUGCGAAAGCGUGGGGAGCAAACAGG